GUGACCCUCGCGGGAGAGUCCGACGGCAUGAUCCGUCGGCGCCGAAGGAGCAACGGCCCCGUAAUCUCUCAGGCCCAAGGACCGCGAGGGGAUG
rnacentral:ncRNA from 2 species